CUUCCCAGAAGGGUUCAUAUUUGGGGCGGGAUCUUCCUCUUACCAGUUCGAAGGGGCAGCAAAGGAAGGUGGUAGAGGACCAAGCGUAUGGGAUACCUUCACCCAUAAUUAUCCAGGAAAGAUCAUGGAUAGAAGCAAUGGAGACGUGGCAAUUGACUCAUAUCACAACUACAAGAAAGAUGUUGGGAUGAUGAAGGAUAUGAAUUUGGAUUCAUAUAGAUUUUCCAUUUCUUGGUCAAGAAUUCUCCCAAGUAAGUUAAUUUGCUUACAAUAAAUCACUAAUUUGAACUAAAUUUUGUCUAGUUGGAUGUUACCCAUUAACCAUUUUUUAAUUAAACUAUGUACCCGCAGAAGGAAAGCGAAGUGGAGGCAUAAAUCAAGAAGGAAUCAACUAUUACAACAACCUUAUCAACGAACUAGUGGCUAAUGGUUAGAAUUUAAUUAAACUCAAUUGAUUCAACUUCAACGUACUUCGACUUUAAUCUUUUAAUAUUUCCUUAUUGUUGAGAAUCAUAAUUAAUAAAAUAUUAAUAUUUAUAGGUAUACAACCACUUGUGACUCUCUUUCAUUGGGAUCUUCCCCAAGCAUUAGAAGACGAGUAUGGUGGCUUUUUAAGUCCGCGCAUAGUGUAAGUUUCAAUUCUAAUACAUAGCUUAUUUGUGUGCUAAGCUUAUUUAACAUCUGGGUAUGAAUAUAAUUUUUCGGACAAACAUAUGCUGAUCUCCAGGAAUGAUUUUCGAGACUAUGCGGAACUUUGCUUCAGGGAAUUUGGUGAUAGGGUGAAGUAUUGGGUUACAUUGAAUGAGCCAUGGAGUUACAGCCAAAAUGGCUACGCAAAUGGACGAAUGGCACCAGGUCGUUGUUCUGCAUGGAUGAAUCUGAAUUGCACUGGUGGUGACUCUUCAACGGAGCCUUAUUUGGUUACACAUCACCAACUUCUUGCUCAUGCAGCAACUGCUCGUGUGUACAAGACCAAGUAUCAGGUUAGUUAAUUUGUUCUUAACCUUUUAGAUAUGUUAUGGGUGUACAUUUCCAUAUUAAAUUUCACAUUGAUCAAUGAAUUAGGAAAAAAGAAAUUACUCAGAGAUUGUUUAAUAUUUCUGUUUUAUAGACUAAAUAUUUAAAUACAAUGUAUGCAGGCAUCUCAAAAUGGUGUGAUAGGCAUAACCUUGGUAGCUAAUUGGUUUUUGCCGCUCAGAGAUACCAAAUCUGAUCAAAAGGCUACAGAAAGAGCAAUUGAUUUCAUGUAUGGAUGGUAAGAAUUCCUCUUUCCUUUUAUGUAACUUUGGUUUCUUCAAAAUACAUAGGCAUUUAUUGCACUAAAAUAGUCAAAUUAUAAAUACAAUUGACAAGUAGUAUUAAUUUAUCAUACUAUACCUUGAUAUAAUAAGGAUUCACAAUCCUUAGCUUUUGAAGGCUUCUACGCAUUUCUCAAACAAUAAAUGGAAGGCCUUUAGGGAUAUAUAUAUGAACAAAUAAUUUAUUUUAAGAAUAAUUCUUUUAAAAUUAUUUCUUAUUUUUAUCAUUCAUUUUCUUAAAAUCUAGUGAUUGAUUAGAUUUUAAAAAAUUAAAUAGUUACUUUUAUAGUAAUUAUAAAAAAGUUAUAUAUAUAUAUAUAUAUAUAUAUAUAUAUAUAUAUGAUGUUUACAAUGCAUGACUUGUUAAACAAAAAAGUUGAAUUCACAAUUAUUUUUUAUUUAUUUCAGGUUUAUGGAUCCAUUAACAUCUGGAGACUAUCCAAAAAGCAUGAGAUCACUUGUGAGGACACGAUUGCCAAAAUUUACUGUAGAACAAUCCAAACUACUUAUUGGUUCAUUUGAUUUUAUUGGCCUAAACUAUUACUCUACAACAUAUGCCUCUGAUGCACCUCAGCUAAGCAAUGCUAGGCCUAGCUACUUAACAGAUUCUCUUGUCACUCCUGCAUGUAAGGACUUCAAUCCUCUGUCAUUCUAUCAAUUCCCAAAAUUACAUCUAUAGACAAUUGAAUAUGAUCAUGGAUGAUAAUGGUUUGUAUUUUAUGUUAUUGACUUAUUGCAGAUGAACGUGAUGGAAAACCUAUAGGAAUAAAGGUACGUGUAUACGCACCCAAACAUGCAAAUACUCUAUUGGUUCUAACUUCUAAUUCUGAUAAAAUAUACAACUAACUUUUUUUUUUAUUUUUAAAUUAAGCAGAUUGCUUCAGACUGGUUAUACGUUUAUCCAAGAGGAAUUAGUGAUCUUUUAUUGUAUACCAAGGAAAAGUACAAUAAUCCUUUGAUUUACAUCACUGAAAAUGGUAAGCAAUACUCGUCUAUAUGUAGUUAAUUUUCUUCAAUGCAAUGUUGUAUACUAUUAUUCAUGAUUUUUCAAUUUUCGUAACUUAUUAAAAUUUUUUCCUAACUUAUAUCUUACAAAUUUAUAGGUAUAAAUGAAUAUGAUGAACCAACGCUAUCACUUGAAGAAUCUCUUAUAGAUACCUUCAGAAUUGAUUAUCAUUAUCGUCAUCUCUUUUAUCUUCAAUCAGCAAUUAGGUAAAUAUUUUAUUAUAUAUAAUAAGUUUAUGUUAAUUUGUUAUACAAGUUAAUAGUUUUUAAUUCAUUUUCUUUUAACUUACAAACUUGAUAUAUAUACAGGAAUGGCGCAAAUGUUAAAGGAUAUUAUGUAUGGUCUUUGAUUGAUAAUUUUGAGUGGUCUUCGGGCUAUACAUCGCGAUUUGGAAUGAUCUUCGUGGAUUACAAAAAUGAUUUGAAGAGAUACCAAAAAUUGUCUGCACUAUGGUUCAAGGAUUUUCUCAAAAAAGAAACCAAACUUUAUGGCUCCAAUAAAUAGUGUUGUGAACUUUGUUUAUCAAAUAAUUAUAUUUUGUAAAUAAUUAUUUGAUAUAUAUUUGUUAUUCUUUUAUUCUAAAAAGGUCCCAUUGGACUUACAGGGGAAAUAGCUAGAGAUUUAUUAGAUUGUUCUUUUUUUUUUACAAGCUUUUAAAGAGGUCCUAUUGGAUUAGAGGGGCUAUAGAGAUUUAUUUGACCAUUCUUUUAUUCUAAAGAGGUCCUAUUGGACUUAUAAGGGAAAUAGAGAUGCUGAUUAAUUUGGUGAUAAUUGCUACUAAUGUUACAAUAAGAAGGAAAAAAACGUUAUGAUAAAGAUGUCACUAAUUUACAAUUGAUUGUAUUUGAUAAUUUAUUGAAUCUUAUGUUCGGGGAUUUUGUGAAAGUUAAUGAUAGUAAAGCUUACUUUCACUCUAAUCCCAUCGAGUGGCUAGAAAAUAGAAUUAAAACGAACCUACGAACUAUUAGCACUAAAUCAUUGAACCGAUCUUAUAGUAAAAAAUCAAUGAUAUAUAAGAAAAGAUGUAUGGAUUUAAACAUAUAUAAAUAUAUUCUUAUGAACACUAUCAUAACAUAUCUGUAUAAGUUUUGGCAUCCUAGUAUUGAGAAUGAAAUUUAAUAUGAUCAGGGUUGAUAUUAAUGUUAUUGAGUAACUUAGUUUGAAUUCUCAAUGGAAUGUGAGGACUUAGAAUCAAAUUCUUUCUGUUAUAGAUGACAAUAUGGGUAAUAUAUAUGUGCUCAAAAGGGGAUGAAUUGAACAUUUCAAAGUUUUUUCCAAAUCAAUUUUCCUAUCCUCCUUUAAAAACCUAUCAAAAUUAGUUUCUAUAUUUUCAAUUGAUUUCACUUGCAAUUGAUUAUACAGUAUUUAUUAAUUUACUGCAACUUAUAUUGGAGGAUUUUUGUGAAAGUUAAUAAUAGUAAAACUCAGUGUGGCUAGAAUAAAAACGGACAUGUGAACUUUAGUCACUACAUCAACGGACAAUUCUUAUAUAUAGUGAGAAAAAAAAUUUAAAACCAAGUUUGAAGAAAUUGAUAAAGGAAAUCAAAAGAAAUAUAAUAAUAAUUAGGUUUGAAGAAUCAAAGAAAAUGAUUAAGUUGAGAAUAAUUACAUGAAAAUCGUAAAUUUACCAUAAAAACAAUAAAUAAAGUACUUGAAAUUAAAAAAUAUUUGAAGAGAAGAAAGAGUAAGAAGAAAAAAGUAAUAUGGAAAUUAAAUUAAAGGUUGGUAUGGUAAAUUGAAAUAGAAAAUUAAAUUGAUAAAAAAGUAAAGAGAUGCUCGAGUUUUCAUAUGGUAGCUAGGUUAACCAUGAGAGAGUACUGAUUACAAAUCACAGAAAGUCAGUUAUAGAUGGGGCGGGGCCACAGGAAGCCUUACGAAUGUGACUGUCCUGCUAUUUAAUUGUUGUGGAAAUGGUGAAACAAAUAACACGAAUGAACACACACACACACAUAUGAUGAAAGCCCUAAUAGUCCUUAAGAAAUAAUAUUGCUGCACCAUAGGUUAUGUAAUUAGUCAAGCAUUGAUUUGACUACAAUAUUCGUUGCUAAGAACAAACUAAUGUCGUAGUGCAUCUCAUUGGGGAGGCGGAAGGAAGUGCAGUUGUUGGUUGCAGCCUUUUUUUUUUUUUUUUUAAUAAUUUUCGUGUUACUAGCUUCCACGUAACUUCGUGUGAAGAACCAUAUGCGCUUUCCCUUUUUCAAAAUACUGUUUUGUCUCUUUGACCCCACACACACACACACAUAUAUAUAUAUAUAUAUACACACACACACAAAUUAAGAUCACAUGUGCGCUUAUUAAUUUUCUUGUUAAACAAUGUCGUCUAAAGGAAAGCCUUUCUUUUAUUAUACUUAAUCAACAUCAUUAGGAAAAUGGCCAAAGUAAGAAAAACUCGCUCGGGAAAAGUCAGCAAGAAUAUAUGUAUCAAACAAGGUAGGCACGUGCAUAGUGUUUAGUCAGUCCACUAGUCAACGGUAGCAUAUAUUAUUAUUUUCAAAUCAAAUCGUCAUUGUCAUGGCGUGGUAGUAGGAAUUCUGAUAGGAAGAAGCUGCAGCAGAAGCUCAUGACAGCAGGCCCAAGAGGAGCACUAACAGACCUUCAUAUCUUGAUGAUUUUGUGUAGCCUCUGUAGGAUCGAAUAGCAGUAGUGCUAUUUCAGGAUAUUAGUGGAGGUAUAAAGUCUGCUAUUAGUGGAGAAUCAAUUCUGUUAGGAUCACAUAAGCUUGUUAUUACCUGUACAAACAUGAGUAAAUAAAUGAAUCAGCAUAGAUGAAUUUGAGUAAGAAUUGUGUAGUAACAGAUAUCUUCACUCGUAAUUAUCCUGAUAAGAUCAUGGAUAGAAGCAAGGGAGACGUGGCAAUUGACUCUAUCACCACUACAAGAGGAAGAUGUUGGGAUGAUGAAGGAUAUGAAUUUGGAUUCAUAUAGAUUUUCCAUUUAUUGGUCAAGGAUUCUCCCAAGUAAGUUAAUUGCAAACAAAGCAAUGUCUAAUUUGAACUAAAUUUUGCCUAGUUGGAUGUUAAUUUCCCAUUAACUAUUUUUUUUAAUAAACUAUAUAUUUACCGAAGGAAAGCUAAGUGGAGGUAUAAAUCAAGAAGGAAUUAACUAUUACAACAACUUAUCCAUGAGCUAGUGGCUAAUGGUUAGAAUUUAAACUCAAUUGGUUCAACUUUAUGUGUACUUCUAAUUUUAUUUUAUUAUAUUGCCUUGGUUUUAAUUAUCAUAAUUUAUUAAAUAUUAACAAUUAUAGGUAUACAAUCACUGUUAGAAAUAGCUGCUAUUCCUCGAUCUGGGACGACCAUAACCAUUUGGCAGCUUUUGAGAUCAUCCAUGCAAGGUGAUUUUGGGAACACAUCACAGAUGACGUGAUCAUACUGGAUCACUUGUUCAUUUCUCCAUCCAUCCCAAAGGGUCCUUAAAUUAAUUGUUAAUGAUUUUUUUCUGCCCGAACACACUACAGCAAAAUGAUUCCUAAUGGCAAUUAAUAUUUCUUUUACCAGCAAUAGAAAUGGCCGCAAGUGAACCAGUUUCACUCAAUACACAUGUUCGUGCAAUGGUGCUAUAAUACACAUGCUCUGAUACCACUUUGUUGGAAGAAGAAGAAGAUUUUAUUUCAUUUGUCACACCAAAUACAAGAGUAUGAUCCCCUAUUUAUAUUAAAAUAGAGUGACCACUCACAAAAUUUGCUUAUUCAAGAAUAUUAAAUGUUCACAUAAUUGCUUAUUCAAGACUUUGUAACUCACAACCUUACAACUUGCAUAUUCCACGCUCAUAAAACUUGUUAUUAUUAUUUUUCUAAUUAAUAUCUAACAGGCUAUGACUAAAGCCGUGGUUAACAAAUUAAAGAAGCUCAUUUCUCACAUAAGAUACUUCCGUAUUGGCCAUUCAUUUUGGAGGUAAUUAAGUAGGUUCCUCUGCCACUGGAUAUACAUGAUCAAUUUCAUCAUAUGUGUGGAAUAGCCAGAAAUAUCUCAUUUACACUAUAUAUCAUGACCACGCCAAUUACCAAAAGUGUCUUGCAUGAGAUUCAAAAGGUUCAAAGUUCUUUUAAAUGGGGUGAUCAACAAAAUGAUGAGGCUGGAAUGUAGUAAAUUGGCACACCAUGAUGAUUCCUAAGAGGUGCAUAUGGGUAUGUGUAAAUUUGUAGAAUUGAACAACGCUUGCCUAAUUAAUGAAGCUAGGAUGGACAUUUAGGUCAAGGGAUCAUCGCUGUAGAGCGUGCGGUUUAAGAGGGAAAAUUUGGUCGCUGAAUUCUUGAGAAAGAGUACUGUGGAAGUCAGUGACUGGCAGAAGGAAACAAAACAACUUUUAGUUAUUUAGAUUAAUAUUUUCCAGCUGAUCCUAAAGCGUUAUUUGUGAUGAUAUAAGAGAUGUUAGACAAAAAUAAUGCGCGCGGAUUCAACAUUCCCGGAAGUUUUAACUCUUUAUUUUCGUGUCCUUCCAUGAAACUUCGUGUGUGAAGAACAUUAUGUGCUUUCCCUUUUUCAAAAUACUAUACUAUACUAUUUUAUCUUUGACCAUACAACAGUAGAUCACUUGCAUGUGAGCUAAUAUUCUUGUUAAAAAAUGUCGCAUAAAAGACAUAGCCGUCUUUUAUUAUAAUCAACAUUAUUGGCAAAGUAAGAAAAACACGUGUGGAACAAGUCAACAGGAUUUUUAUCAAACAAGGUAGGCAGAUGCAUGGUGUUUACUCAGUCUUCUAAGUCAGCAAUAGACAGCAUACUAUAUAUUAUUAUUAUUAUUAUUAUUAUUGAAUCAACGUCGUAGUCAUAGAGUGGCAGUAGGUAUUCCACUCCUUCCUAUAUAAAGAGGAAAGGUUUCGGAGAUAGAGAACACCAAAACAAUCAACUAAGAAAAACAUAUCACACAAUAUGGCAUUCAAGGGCUAUUUCCUUCUCGGCCUCGUUACUCUUGUUCUUGUUAAAUCUUCCAAAGUUACAUGCGAAGAAGAAUCAGUUAAUACAGUUUCACCCAUUAUUGACAUUUCACUCAAUCGGAAGAGUUUCCCAGAAGGGUUCAUAUUUGGGGCGGGAUCUUCCUCGUACCAGUUCGAAGGGGCAGCAAAGGAAGGUGGUAGAGGACCAAGUGUAUGGGAUACCUUCACCCAUAAUUAUCCAGGAAAGAUCAUGGAUAGAAGCAACGGAGACAUGGCAAUUGACUCAUAUCACAACUACAAGAAAGAUGUUGGGAUGAUGAAGGAUAUGAAUUU
rnacentral:lncRNA from 1 species